UAUAACUAGUUCUGGACAUGGACAAGGGCUUCAUUUGAUCUUUUGUUGCUCUCAAGCCAUAUUUUCCCUGUGUGUCUCUUUGUGCAGGUACUUGAAAAAAAUAAAAAUACACAACUUGUCCAAAUGUUCCUCUAUCACCAUAGCCUAAAUUAAUAUGUCCAAAUGUUCCUCUAUCACCAUAGCCUAAAUUAAUAUAUAGGAAUUUAAUUUAAUCUUUUAUUCCUGUUGGGUUCACAUGUAAUGUAUUCAGCUAUAAUACACCAGUGAAUUAGACAUAUCAUCUUUUAUGCUGAAUCAGCACCACUGCAUUAUGUAGCUAUGUUCACCACAGGUUAUGAGUUUGUUUUUUGUAUUACUUUAACAGCAUGUUAAUUUUUCACAAAUCUCCUGCUUCAGCUAUAGAUUUCUUUGUACAACAUGCGCAAAUUAUUGAUCUUAUUCCGAAGUCUUAUUCUGCGGUGUUUAACUGCAGGCUGAGUUCAAUUUGUUUUUGUGCCAGAAACGGAACAGGUAGUGCUCUAACCUCAGCAGCAUAUGGUCUAAAUUUCAUACUUAGGGUCAUUCAAAUAUCUGGAAUAUUAGUCCUGAGUCAAGGUAAUUUUCCUCAUCCCUUUAAUGUAUCAUGGAAAUUUACGUCCACCUUUGUGCUUGCUUGUUAAAAAUUGCUCAUUUGGUUCUUUGUUCAGAUUUACGAUUAUUACGAUUUACUACUUCACCAUAGAUUUACAACAACAAUAUUUGUUUUGUUCUAGAUCAACUGUUACGGGAAUACAUUAUUCCCGAAGUUCUUUUAGAUGUAUUGGUCAUGGCACUGUUUUUUUUUCUGCUUUUGUAGUUGAAGGGUUAGUUACACUCUGAUUUUGUAGCAUUUGUUCCAUGUGAGAGAGAUUGUAUAUUGUUGUCAUCCUGAAACAAUGCUGGAGCUCUAAAGAAAAAGCUAGCAGAGUACUCCAUGGUUAUAGGUUGUACAAAUAGUAUGGUAAUGUUGCAUUCACUGUAGGAUGACCAAGAUGCACCAAAUUUGAGAAACUCGUGAGGUGAAUUAAUUGGUGCUUAACCUAAUUUCACUUGGCCGCCCAGCAACUUCCUUUUUGUGUAAAUGGUGCAUCUGUAUAUGAAAUGGUUAUGUAUUUUGAUUUUUGUCAUCUAAUUUUUUAGAAGAGUUGUGAUAGAUUCUAAGCAGUUGCAGUUCAUGAUUUUCCUCUUUAAUAUCCAUGUCAUUCAGUCAAGAUAGUGCGCAAAGUUUCUGGUUGUUUUUAUUUCUCCAGGCAGUGAAAACAUGUUGAUUUCUUGACCACAUCAAGUGAUACAUGCUAUGUUAAGUGUUUAAAUAUUUUUUGCUCAUUUUUUCCGCAGACCAGCACAAUGGAAUGAACUUUACAACAUUUAGUUAGCAUAUUAUAUAUUUUCCGAGGGAAAAUGGCAGGCGCUCUGCCUUUGUUAUAGAUUAUGAAUGUACAAGAGGAGAACACAAUGGAGAAAGAGAGGGAGGAAGCAAAGGAAAACGAAGAAGCAGUCACCCCAGGCGCUGCCUGUACAUGGAUGUUCAGCUAAGGUUCUACUACAUUCAGCCAGAUGAGCUGCAGAUCAUUGACAACACCACCACCAACAGAGACUGGGCAUGAGGCCGUGUUUGUGAAGAUACCUCUGUUCCUUUCGUUCCAGAUGUGCCAAGCAAAAUAUGCCCCUGUAACAGCCGUGUUCUUUGGCCCUCCAGCAAGGUGCGGCCACCACUUGCCAAUGGAGUUGAAGGAUGUGAUGUUUACUUGUUGGAUAGCUGGAUUUGAAGCGCCAAGUUUGAACCACAUUUCAGCGAUGAAAGGGCAUUGACAAAAGAGGGUGAGCUGCAGAUUCGAUAAUCUGAUCGCAUAGGGCGCAUUUGUCGUCAUGUUGGCUGCCCCGGUCCACGAUUCAAAGAUCCACGAAGGAAUCGAUCUCGUCAGAAGAGUUGAUACGCUGAAGGCCCUUCAUCCAUCUGUCAUCCGAGAGGGCAGCUGCAACCGUCAGGCUCUUCCUUCUUCGUCAGAUUGAAAAGCUUUGGAGCAAGGUCUAUCAGAGCAGAGCCAAAAAGGCGUAAGCUUUCCAUCGCCCAGCGAAACAGUGGUGGAUGCACGAAACAAGCUCAAAUCACCCGCAGAGCAGGCCAGUGGGAAGCAAGUCCAUGGUCGGGAUGGGUUCUUCCAGGCAGUCCAAGGUCAUCAUGGGUUCUCAUCCUGCUCUUUUGGCAUUUAUGACUGGUUGUUGCUCUACCCAAGGUUUCAUCCAAACCAUUGAACUUGACAGUAAAACUCUAUCCAAAAUUCUGAACAAGUAAUUCUCAUGCUCUUCCUUAGGUAAAACCGUGGUUUCUUGAUUCUUAGAUAGGGCUUGGUUAGCAGCACAGCUAUUUACAAAAUCUACAAUGCAUGACCGAAGCAAGGUGUUCUUUUGCUUUGCUAUUGGUCAAUAGUAAGUAGAUAGACCAUGGAUGCAUCUUCUCAAUGCAGUUCUCAAAAAGAAAUAACUUCAUGUGUUUCGGAAGUCAUGGUUACUCCCCUUGGCGAUGUCAGCCUUUUCUUAUUGCAAACCUUGCUGGUUCAGUCAUAUGGCCAUCACCAUUGGAAUCGGUGAAUAUUUUAGUUGCAGUAAAUGAUCUUGCCUUAUCCACCUGCAUUUGGAGCUCUUUUAUUAUUUUAUGUUCGCUUAUCCAAAAUUUGAACAAGUGAUAUUUCAGUUGCAGUAAAUGAUCCUUUGAUUGUUUGUUUAGGUGUAUAAGAGUGUUGAUGAUGUGGCUUAGAGGAGGCCUCGACUUGCACCAAAUAUAUGCUCAUAUGCAACUACAGCCUAUGCAGGCGAAUCAUGCGCUUGUGCCGAGCUGAUCCAAGGUGGUGCAUCUGCAUCAGAGGACUGUUUUUGUUCGAUUUGUGGAACCUAGCUUGCGAUGUAGAAAAAAAAAAGGAUGGCUACAUCUGCUACAUAUCCUCCUGUGUUUUAACUUGAGCCUCUUGUGGUUUCAGCAUGAAAAGCAGGUGAAUGAGAAGCUGCACAACCCGCACACUGUAAGUUGCUCCUUCAUGCCUAUGCAGAACAAGUUACUGUGAAAGAGAAGUGUAUGCACGUUCUUUGUACAAAGCUCAGUUGUACCUUAAUCUGGGAAGUAGGAUGACCCCGACUAUACCAAGUUUGACCAAAUUUGUUGGUGAAUUAGUUUGUUUUGCCCUGAUUUUUGCGUGGUGGCAGUAUAUCUGAGCCUGGAAUGCAUAUAUCCAGUGCAGAGAAGAUCAGUUUGCUGUAUGAAAUUUUCUAAGCAUUUCAUUUUCUUUAUUCUUAGUUUUUAUAUGAUGUCGUGCAGCAGAAAACUGGUUAUGAAUUUGUUAAAAAGUAUGAAUUUUUCAUCUAAAAUUCUUGGCAGCUACCCUUCAUGAUUAUUUUUCUUCAUGCAGUAAACGCCUAGGUGAAGCAUCAAAAUUCAAUAUAACUAGUUCUGGACAUGGACAAGGGCUUCAUUUGAUCUUUUGUUGCUCUCAAGCCAUAUUUUCCCUGUGUGUCUCUUUGUGCAGGUACUUGAAAAAAAUAAAAAUACACAACUUGAUGAUGUGCUCAGUUUUGACUUUAAGUAGAAUAAAAGGGCUUGCUAACAUAUAUAAGAGUGCAAAGAAGAUUGGUUGUAUUUUUUCACUAUAGUAGCUACUACAGAUUUUUAUGAUGGUUCAUAUUCACCAAAAUCUAGCUGCACUUCAACAGUAGACUAUGUGAUAAUUUGUAAGAGUUUACAGCAACUGGGCAACAUAAAGUUCCAAAAAAAAGUGCACUACGCGGUUACUGAAAUAAAUUUUAUUCUGCAUUAUGGAAGUAAUUUGUAUGGGGAGCAAUUGCAGACGCGUUUGGAUAAGGCAUGAUGCAUCCAAUUGACUCCCAGAAUACAAAGCUUCAGAGUCAAGCUAUAAUGACAGGGGCUAAAAGUGUGAAAUCGUUUCCUAAAAAAUUUUGUUCACUUCACAUUGGCCUGAACUGUAGUAGGAUUUGCUGUUUUAUUGAAUGGUCUUUGACACAUGGAUUCCCUUAUCUUUCUUGACUUGUCCUGAACACAUUCAGAAGAAUGUUUUUCAGAUGGUCAGAACAGUUUGGCCCCUCUCUGCUUUGUAUUUAUAAAAUAUUAGAAACCUGAAACACUUUAGUAUCAGGUUUUGUCAGAAUCAAGGGAAAUUCAUACUGCCUGAGCCUUUGCUGAUGUUAAGAAUGGCCAACUGAUUGAACUUGUUCACAGCAUUAGCAGUAAUCUUGAUAAACUUGGCAUUCCUGACCUUCUAUAUUUGAUGUCCUGUUCUGUUGACCUAUCUGCAGUGGUUUUUACAGAGGAAUUAGUCCAGGUGCUACUGGUUCAUUUGCUACAGGUGCAACAUAUCUUGAAUCAACUAAGACAUGGAUGGAGCACGCUAAUCCUAAUCUAAGAGGUCAUUGGUCUCACUUUAUUGCUGCAGGAAUUGGUGAGAAAAUUGUGUUCUUAUGUCUACUGUAUUUUCUUUCCGAAAAAUCUGCACGGUGCUGUGUAAAAUUUAGAAUGGCUCUCAGCAUCUAUUCGAGCAUGCUAGCUUUCUAUAGUAUUUUCAUGCGCACAUUUCUGGAAGCAUGAAUGCAUGUUCAUGGAGCAAACUGGGUCGAUUUUUGUGUGAAAAAAAGCGAUACUAUCCGCGCAAAGUUGUCUUAUUCCACUCAUUACUAAACAUAUGCAUAAUCCCUUCAUUUAACAGGCAUUGCAAUCAUUUUCCUCUGAUCUUCCUAUUUGCUUGCUCCGCGGGGCAAAACUCGGGACCAAUGGGUUGUCAAGUGAGACAAAUCCAAGAGAGCGAGGAAAAACUGAAAGGAGAAGAAGUG
rnacentral:lncRNA from 1 species